rnacentral:rRNA from 1 species
AUUUUGCACAAUGGGGGAAACCCUGAUGCAGCGACGCCGCGUGAGUGAAGAAGUAUUUCGGUAUGUAAAGCUCUAUCAGCAGGGAAGAAAUACUGACUUUACGGUCAGCAGACGGUACCUGACUUAGUAGCCCCGGCUAACUACGUGCCAGCAGCCGCGGUAAUACGUAGGGGGCAAGCGUUAUCCGGAUUUACUGGGUGUGAAGGGAGCGUAGACGGCAGCGCAAGUCUGAAGUGAAAUCCCAUGGCUUAACCAUGGAACUGCUUUGGAAACUGUGCAGCUGGAGUGCAGGAGAGGUAAGCGGAAUUCCUAGUGUAGCGGUGAAAUGCGUAGAUAUUAGGAGGAACACCAGUGGCGAAGGCGGCUUACUGGACUGUAACUGACGUUGAGGCUCGAAAGCGUGGGGAGCAAACAGG